CACGCAGGCGGUCUGUCAAGUCGGAUGUGAAAUCCCCGGGCUCAACCUGGGAACUGCAUUCGAAACUGGCAGGCUAGAGUCUUGUAGAGGGGGGUAGAAUUCCAGGUGUAGCGGUGAAAUGCGUAGAGAUCUGGAGGAAUACCGGUGGCGAAGGCGGCCCCCUGGACAAAGACUGACGCUCAGGUGCGAAAGCGUGGGGAGCAAAC
rnacentral:rRNA from 1 species